GACUAACGGGGAUUUUGAGAGACUCACUCGAACUCCCUCACGACUAACGGGAAAAAACACAGCUACAUUUAUGGGGGUUCUAUGGAACUCCUCUUCACCUCGUUCCACGGUCAUUGUUUCGGUUCAAAAACAACCUCGACAAUCAAAGGAUUUUUGGCUCUCAAAAGUGAAACCAUCCUCUAUUUUCAACUAAAGUUCCUUUUGUAUACAGAUCUAUCCAUGUUGUUGGCGACCUUGUACAACAACAAAGUUGUUGUUCUAAAAUCCGGUCUCAGAUUCACAUUGGGCUGUGUCGCCAUCUGCAUCAAGAAAUGGCUAUUCGCUAGGAUUUCAGUUACUGUAUGAACAGAAUGGGUGAUGGGUGCUGUCAAGUGUUUGAUGAAUAGCCUGAAUCAGUUUUCACUCUUGAGUUUGCUAUAUGCUAAUAACGAUGAAGUGCUAGUUGGAAGUUAAUAGAAUAUGCGAUGGCUCAAUGUUUUUUGUGGUAUUUACAGUCUUGGAACUCUCAAGUUGCAUAUAGAUUUGAUGAUUUUACAUGAAUUCAAGCCUUUAAUAUCUAUUGGUUGUAUUUACUGGUAGUGCUAAGUUUUCCUUUUAAUCAAGUCUGCACAUGCCUAAUGAUAUAUUUAUUAUUUCUA